rnacentral:rRNA from 1 species
GACGAACGCUGGCGGCGUGCUUAACACAUGCAAGUCGAACGAAGUGGCGAACGGGUGAGUAACGCGUACUCAACCUGCCCUUCAGAGGGGAACAACAGUUGGAAACGACUGCUAAUACCGCAUACUGAAGGAGGGGCUUGCGUCGGAUUAGCUAGUUGGAGGGGUAACGGCCCACCAAGGAGAUGAUAAGUAGCCGGUCUGAGAGGAUGAAAGGCCACAUUGGGACUGAGACACGGCCCAGACUCCUACGUGAGGCAGAAGGGGGGAAUCUUCCGAAAUGGAAGAAAGUCUGACGGAGCAACGCCGCGUGAGUGAUGACGGCCUUCGGGUUGUAAAGCUCUGUUAAUCGGGACGCGGUACCGGAAUAGAAAGCCACGGCUAACUACGUGCCAGCAGCCGCGGUAAUUC